UACGAAGGGGGCUAGCGUUGCUCGGAAUCACUGGGCGUAAAGCGCACGUAGGCGGCUUCUUAAGUCAGAGGUGAAAUCCUGGAGCUCAACUCCAGAACUGCCUUUGAUACUGAAAGUCUUGAGUAUGGGAGAGGUGAGUGGAACUGCGAGUGUAGAGGUGAAAUUCGUAGAUAUCUGGAGGAAUACCGGUGGCGAAGGCGGCAUCCUGGACCGACAUUGACGCUGAGGAGCGAAAGCUAGGGGAGCAAACGGGG
rnacentral:rRNA from 1 species